GUCGAACGAUGAAGCUGGAGCUUGCUCCAGUGGAUUUGUGGCGAACGGGUGAGUAACACGUGAGCAAUCUGCCCUUGACUCUGGGAUAACUGCGGGAAACUGUAGCUAAUACCGGAUACGACACCUUGGGGCAUCCCAGGGUGUGGAAAGAAUUUCGGUCAAGGAUGAGCUCGCGGCCUAUCAGCUAGUUGGUGAGGUAAUGGCUCACCAAGGCGACGACGGGUAGCCGGCCUGAGAGGGUGACCGGCCACACUGGAACUGAGAUACGGUCCAGACUCCUACGGGAGGCAGCAGUGGGGAAUAUUGCACAAUGGGCGCAAGCCUGAUGCAGCAACGCCGCGUGAGGGAUGAAGGCCUUCGGGUUGUAAACCUCUUUUAGCAGGGAAGAAGCGAAAGUGACGGUACCUGCAGAAAAAGCACCGGCUAAGUACGUGCCAGCAGCCGCGGUAAUACGUAGGGUGCAAGCGUUGUCCGGAGUUAUUGGGCGUAAAGAGCUCGUAGGCGGUUUGUCGCGUCUGCUGUGAAAAUCCAAGGCUCAACCUUGGACCUGCAGUGGGUACGGGCAGACUAGAGUGCGGUAGGGGAGAUGGGAAUUCCUGGUGUAGCGGUGGAAUGCGCAGAUAUCAGGAGGAACACCAAUGGCGAAGGCACAUCUCUGGGCCGUAACUGACGCUGAGGAGCGAAAGCGUGGGGAGCGAACAGGAUUAGAUACCCUGGUAGU
rnacentral:rRNA from 1 species